rnacentral:ncRNA from 1 species
GGGAGCCGGAUGAGCUGAGAGGUUCAAGUCCGGUGCUGAGAGGGCCUAGGGGUGAAACUCCUCUGUGCUACUCACC